CCUGGGGCUGCUUCCUAUCUCCACUACAUAAGACAGAACACUUUCAGAAGGCUAAGCCUGAGGGUGCCUGGCUUUACUCACUGGCUGAUAGUGUUCAAUUGACACCCUUAGCCAAUGAGCUAACCCUGCACUGCUGGGCCUAUCACUAAGGAAAGCUAAUGGAAGCUCCUAAGCAGAUGAGGCAUGGAGUGUUGCCUGGCAUAACACAGGUUUGCAGUCAAACUCUUCCUAAAUGGUUUGGCUACUUACAAAAGGGAGGUGCUAUGGUAUUUGAAAUGUAGAAAUCCCCAUCACUGUUUUUACCCUAAUCCUGGAACAAUAACUAUUUUCGAUAUUUGUCAGUCAUUAUCACUGGAAACAUUUCUGUUUCUCCUCCUCCAAUAAAAUAUGUGUGUUGCCUUUGCAAGGACCAAGCUGAAUU